rnacentral:rRNA from 1 species
CCACACCAUGAGAGUUGGUUGUACCAGAAGUUGCCGGGCUAACCUUGCUUUAGCAAAGAGGCAGGCACCUAAGGUAUGGCUGAUGAUUGGGGUG